AGAGUUUGAUUCUGGCUCAGGAUGAACGCUGGCGGCGUGCCUAAUACAUGCAAGUCGAACGCGAGCACUUGUGCUCGAGUGGCGAACGGGUGAGUAAUACAUAAGUAACCUGCCCUAGACAGGGGGAUAACUAUUGGAAACGAUAGCUAAGACCGCAUAGGUACGGACACUGCAUGGUGACCGUAUUAAAAGUGCCUCAAAGCACUGGUAGAGGAUGGACUUAUGGCGCAUUAGCUGGUUGGCGGGGUAACGGCCCACCAAGGCGACGAUGCGUAGCCGACCUGAGAGGGUGACCGGCCACACUGGGACUGAGACACGGCCCAG
rnacentral:rRNA from 1 species